rnacentral:rRNA from 1 species
UGGGGAAUAUUGCACAAUGGGCGCAAGCCUGAUGCAGCCAUGCCGCGUGUGUGAAGAAGGCCUUCGGGUUGUAAAGCACUUUCAGCGGGGAGGAAGGCGGUGAGGUUAAUAACCUCAUCGAUUGACGUUACCCGCAGAAGAAGCACCGGCUAACUCCGUGCCAGCAGCCGCGGUAAUACGGAGGGUGCAAGCGUUAAUCGGAAUUACUGGGCGUAAAGCGCACGCAGGCGGUCUGUCAAGUCGGAUGUGAAAUCCCCGGGCUCAAACUGGGAACUGCAUUCGAAACUGGCAGGCUAGAGUCUUGUAGAGGGGGGUAGAAUUCCAGGUGUAGCGGUGAAAUGCGUAGAGAUCUGGAGGAAUACCAGUGGCGAAGGCGGCCCCCUGGACAAAGACUGACGCUCAGGUGCGAAAGCGUGGGGAGCAAACAGG